rnacentral:rRNA from 1 species
ACUCCUACGGGAGGCAGCAGUAGGGAAUCUUCCACAAUGGGCGAAAGCCUGAUGGAGCAACGCCGCGUGGGUGAAGAAGGUCUUCGGAUCGUAAAACCCUGUUGUUAGAGAAGAAAGUGCGUGAGAGUAACUGUUCACGUUUCGACGGUAUCUAACCAGAAAGCCACGGCUAACUACGUGCCAGCAGCCGCGGUAACACGUAGGUGGCAAGCGUUAUCCGGAUUUAUUGGGCGUAAAGGGAACGCAGGCGGUCUUUUAAGUCUGAUGUGAAAGCCUUCGGCUUAACCGGAGUAGUGCAUUGGAAACUGGGAGACUUGAGUGCAGAAGAGGAGAGUGGAACUCCAUGUGUAGCGGUGAAAUGCGUAGAUAUAUGGAAGAACACCAGUGGCGAAAGCGGCUCUCUGGUCUGUAACUGACGCUGAGGUUCGAAAGCGUGGGUAGGAUAGCG